CUUCACGGUAGCAAUAGAAGCUCAAUUCUGCUGCUCUGCUUUCCCCGCCCACUGCAUCAGGCGAAAACUGAAAUAAAACUGAAGAGCAGCUUCUACCAUCCUGAGGAAAGAACCCACAAUCAUAAAGAAUUCUUGUUCAGAAAGAAAAGAACGAGAUGUGUGGGGGAAUGCAAUGAGGAAUUUACGGCAAUUAAAUAGGUAAACCCAAAGAACUCGCAGGAGACAUCGUUGCAGGAGACUCCAGGCCACUGGCAGAUGGAAAUCAGAUUUCAAAGAUGAGAUUUCGUCUGUUUUGGGUUGUUAGAGUAGGCAACACAUAAAUUACUUUUAUGCUGGCCAAUGAGCAUGGGGGUCAGUCAUAAGAAUUUGACCAAUCAUGAAUCAUAAGUGUUUGACCAAUGAGUGCUGACUUAAAAUAUGGGGAAAAUCCCCGUAAUUUGACCUAUCAUGAAGCACACUAAGCAAACGAUUGGUGAAGUGACUCAUUUUACAAGAAUAGAAAAUAAAAUUCUCAUGAACAGUUACAAUACCCAAGAGUGUUGACUUUUGUGAAUUACACAUGCCAUUGUUCUUUUAUGAGUACUUGAAUAAAAUGAUGUUAUUGUUGUAAUUUCUGACCUUUGUUUGUAUCUUUCUAUGGAUAUUCUAGACUUCAGGUCUCUUACCUUGCUUUAAAUAUUUUUAUCUAGAAACAUUGCUCAUAAUUUUACCAUGAUGGAAACAUUUGUCCAUUUUAUUUUCUUGAGUCGACUAGAUUUACUGAGGGAAUUUAUUAAAUUUAAAAAGGGGCUUUUGGUCAAAGUGUGGAUUUUUCUCAGUUUAGAUUCCCCUAACAAUGUCAGACCAUUGACCACUCAAUUAUAAUCAACUCUUCUCUCUCGCCUGCAGCACCCCAUUCAGAGGUAAUAAACUGAAGAACAGAGAAUUCUCGAAGC
rnacentral:lncRNA from 1 species